AACAGGACACUAUAUCUGGAGCCAGGAAUAAUAGGAUCCGAGAAACAGUAACAAGUAUAAAACAAAGUGGUCUUGAACUCCUGGCCUCAAGUAAUCCUCCCCACUGGGCUUCCCAAAGUGCUGGGACUACAGAGGUGAGCCAAUACAUCAAGCCCAAUUGUUGUUUCAGUUAUGCUUGCUACACUUGCAAAGCCAAGCAAAUGUUACAAAUGUGCAAGAAAUUAGAGGUAUGGUAAGAUGUUGCUUAAUCACUAUUGGGUAAUUGUUGGACAGCUUUCAGAAUCUCUACAUUCCCCAAACCGGUUUCAGAUGAAAUUUUAGACCAGACUGCUAUGCAAUUUUACAUAGUAAUUAGUAUAAUAAUCUCUAAGCAGGGCAUUCUCCAAUUUUUACCCUCC